AUGGCGACUUCGGCAUUGGCCGGUUUCUUCGAAGCCCCUACUCUUGAAGGGUUGGCUGCGUUUCGUAAGGUAGAGUUACAGGCCUUAGCGGAACACUACGAGAUCCCUGUUCCUAAACAAAAGCUUAAAGCUGAGCUUUUGACCCUAGUAACAGAAGGGUUAGUAGAGAGGGGAAUUUUGUCCUUGAAAGAGGAUGAGAGGGGUGCCUCAGGAGAGGAGUCUGAUAGAUCCUCUGAUGUAAAAACAGAGGAUGGUGUAGAGGAAGAGGUUGCUCGUACUCCUGUUACGUUGCCCCGGUUUGACCCUUUGUCUCCUCCUUCAGGUCAUUCUAACGGCGCUGCUAGGCUCAAGAUGAGGCUGGCCAGGUUGGAGAUGGAGCUAAGGGAAAAAGAAAGUAUUCGACAAAGAGAGUUCGAGUUAGAACUUCGGAAAUUGGAAAUCAAUAAGGAAAUUAGAAUUCGACAACUGGAGCUAGAGGCUGGCUCCCGAGUGAGUCCGUCUUCUGCUCCGCCUCAGGCUCACUUUGAUGUGAGUAAGCAUAUUGCUUUAGUACCGCCAUUUAGGGAAUCAGAAGUUGAUUGUUAUUUUUCGGCUUUUGAGCGUGUGGCAGCUGCGCUGCACUGGCCACUCGAGGUUUGGUCACUUCUCUUACAGUGUAAACUGUCCGGGAAGGCCCAAGAAGUUGUUGCUGCUCUCUCCCUGGAAGAGAGUUUAAAAUACAACGUUGUAAAAGCUACCGUUCUUCGCGCGUAUGAACUGGUCCCCGAAGCAUAUAGGCAGAGAUUUAGGAACCACAAAAAGGCUUUGAAUCAAACUUUUGUAGAGUUUGCCAGAGACAAAGAGUCUUUGUUUGAUCGCUGGUGUUCAGCCAGCAAAGUUACAGAUUUUGCUGGUAUCCGAGAGUUAAUUUUGUUGGAAGAUUUUAAAAACACUCUACCUGAGCGUCAGGUGGUUCAUUUGUGUGAACAAAAGGUGGCAACGUUGGCUCAGGCCGCAGUGUUGGUCGAUGAAUAUACCUUGACACAUAAGAGUGUGUUCACGCCACCUCGUGUUGGGGACAGAACAUUUGUGCCAUCUGUACAAAGUCUCUGCCUCGCCGAAGAUCUUCAACCUCUUCUGGCAACACCACAGAGGCAAAACAUGUAUGAAGACUGUGAUCGUCUUUUUGCUGUUCAAUCACUGUUUCCGGGGUGA
ensembl:lncRNA